CCAAUGUCUGUCUUGUUUAACUGUCAAGUUGAAUUAAUUUACAUUUUAAAAGUUAAAUAAUAGUUUGAAAGAAACUAGCAGUUCAAGCACCAUUAACAGUAAAAGAAGAAAUAAUAGUUUGGAAGUUUGUUUGGCGUUCCAAGAAUCCAAUUGCUACCCCUAAAAUGUCUGACAAUAAUGAGAAUAAUAUAAGUGAUGAAGUGCCGAAGAAGAAAAUAAAACAUUACUGAACAAAAUUCAAUGACAACUGGCUAACAAAUGUGAGGUAUCAAAGUUGGUUAGAGAAACAGAAUGACUUCGUAGCUAAGUGCAAAUUGUGUGUCAUUAGUUUUAUUAUUAAAAAUGAAGGUGAAAAAUCCGUUAAACAAUAUGAGGCAUCUGUUCGUCAUAAACAUAAUAUAUCUGCACAGAAGAAUAGCAAAUGAUAACAUUUUUUGUUUCAAAGGAAUCCAAUAAGCAAUUAAAUAUUUGCAUUGCUGAACUAGCUGGUGUAUACCAUACAGUAAUGCAUCAACAUAGUUAUAAUAGCUUUGAUUGUGGAUUGAAACUAUAUACUAAACGGUUCAAAGGUUCAGCUCUUUCCAAACAAAUCCAUUGUGGAAGAAUAAAAGAUUCAAGCAUAGCAGAAAGCAUUUUGAGUCAAAAGCCUCUGAAUUCGUUUUGAAUGAUAUUAUGCAAGAUGAGACAAAUUUCCGAUAUUUUUCAAUUUCAACAGAUGCUUCAAAUAGGGGCAACAUCAAGCGUUUUUCUUUGGUUGUCAUUUAUUUUAUUCCAGAGCAAGAUAUAAAACAUAAAAUUUUAGAAAAAAAAAUUAUAUUAAACAUAAAAUUUUAGAUUUUUACACUGAUGAUUACGAGUCGUCCGAAGCAAUAUCAAACAAAAUAACAGUGUGUCUAAAAGAGAAUGGCCUUCUAAUUGAAUAUGUUGCAUCUUAUUUAAC
rnacentral:lncRNA from 1 species